rnacentral:rRNA from 1 species
GACGAACGCUGGCGGCGUGCUUAACACAUGCAAGUCGAACGGAAAGGCCUCUUUCGGGGGGUACUCGAGUGGCGAACGGGUGAGUAACACGUGAGUAACCUGCCCUUGACUUUGGGAUAACUUCAGGAAACUGGGGCUAAUACCGGAUAGGAGCUCCUGCUACAUGGUGGGGGUUGGAAAGUUUCGGCGGUUGGGGAUGGACUCGCGGCUUAUCAGCUUGUUGGUGGGGUAGUGGCUUACCAAGGCUUUGACGGGUAGCCGGCCUGAGAGGGUGACCGGCCACAUUGGGACUGAGAUACGGCCCAGACUCCUACGGGAGGCAGCAGUGGGGAAUAUUGCACAAUGGGUGGAAGCCUGAUGCAGCAACGCCGUGUGCGGGAUGACGGCCUUCGGGUUGUAAACCGCUUUCGCUCAUGACGAAGCUUUGUGUGACGGUAGUGGGUAAAGAAGCACCGGCUAACUACGUG